rnacentral:pre_miRNA from 1 species
CACAUACUUCCUCCGUUCGGAAUUACUUGUCUCAGAAAUGAAUAUAUCUAGAACUAAAAUACAUCUAGAUACAUCCAUUUCUGCGGCAAGUAAUUCCGAACGGAGGGAGUAUGUG